AUUGGGGAUAUUUAUAUAGGAGUGGUGAUGGAGGGGGAAGGGAAAACCCUAAAAGUAAAAGGUGCUAGGAAACCCUAAAAGCUGACAAAGGUAGAAAGGCAACUGCUAUAUCUUCUCUUCUAUAAUUGUGAAGAUAUGGAUAUUAGACUGGGAGAAAUGAAAUGAAGGUUUUCUUUCUCUUUUUUACUUUGGGAGUUACAUAUUCUUAUGACCAUCUUGUGAUGCUACCAGAAGGAAUGGUUUAGGCUAAUGGAAGUCAGAACCUAUAGAACACAAUUCUAAAGAAGUACUUUUUAGUAAUGAAUCGAUCUAAUGUUAUUUGUGAUGGAUUAGUCCUAUAAAGCAUAUGAUCGAUAUAUGUUUUGGAAAAAAAUAAACUAAAAAUUAAUGCAAAUAAACAUUAACACAUAUUUAAAGCCAUUGGUUAUUUAAUCAUAAGGGAGAUAAAUCUUCCUUCAAGUCAUAUAGCCGUUCGCUUACCACAAUUGAACUGAACUUUGCUGGAAGUUUGGUUGAGAAGUCAGCAUGCAUAUACCUACGAAAGGCGAACCUGAAAUAAAGAAACAGCUAGCUGGCUAUAAUAAGUUUUUAUAUAUGGCCUGAUAGUCACACAUUUUGAUCAAUUAAGUGGAACCAUGUGAAUGAUAUGAGGUUUGCUGAUCUACGAUUGAAGAACCUUUUUAGGUUUCAGAGUCAUUGCUCUUCUAAUUUGACACAGAAGACACUAAAAAAGUCCUCGAGCGAGGUGCCAAA
rnacentral:lncRNA from 1 species